GUUUUUUUUGUUUUUUUUUUUUUUUGGUUUGUUUUUUUUUUUUUUGUGGUUGGACUCGAUGAUCUCAGAGGUCCCUUCCAACCACUAAGAUCCUGUGAUUCUGUGAUUCUGUGUCUGAUCCAUCUGCCCUAUACAGGGUCUCCGAUCCUUCACCCUGAUUUCCUUUCAUCACUGCCUGCACGUACAAGAUAGCAGCUAUCUCUUCUCAGCGCCGGUCUGUUACGAUCUCCAUAAAAGCUUUUCUUGCUAACAUCUCCAGAUGCUGGAAGGAGACCACCACAACCACCAACAGCUUGCAAAUGCUCUCUAUCCUGCAGGAGGAAGACAGUCCUUCUCUGUCCCCAGGCUGCCAGAGUGCAGUUCUGGAAGCAUCACGUCGGGAGCAGGGGGCUCUCAUGUGGUCUGUAGGAAAGAACAACUUGGAAACUAUAGCAAGAGAGACGAGAAAGAAGCCAUAACACAUGAGCAGAGUGAAUGAUGAGCCUCUAAAACCAACAGUGGAAGAUUCUCCAUCUUUGGCAGUUUCGAAAGAAAUGUGGUGAUUAUCUGGAAGGUGCAAGUCAAGCAUCUGUCAGGUGUCCAUCGUUUGGCCCCAAACAGAGAUAUACAAGAGAUCAGACGUAUCUCAAAGCCCAUGUUAUUGUCAUUACUUGAUUUCAGUCUGUCCGGAAACUUACAAGGUCUGCAAGCAAGAAUUUCUGAGCCAUUUUGAAGACACAAGAACAUAUGAACAGGGCAUCAGCUCACAGUUCUCCAGGCCCAUUUCCUCCAUAUGGGUUAUUUGUGUGGGGCCCAGACCUUUUCUAGAGGCUGUGUCCUCGUGCCAUCACGACUGAAAAUGACAAAGCGUCGAGACUAAAUCAAGCUGUUAUUGCUCCUCCAAGACAUAUUUUUACCCUUGGAUUUGGACUCUUGCGUAGCCGCAGCAAACCAUAUGAAAUGUUUAACAGAUGUGAACUUAUCAGGGUUCCAGCAUCCUUUGUGGAAUAUGUCUCUUUGAACAAAUUACAAAAUGCUCCAUCUGUGCUAACGGGAUUGAAAUGUCAGCCCCAUGGUUGGGGUAAGCCUGGCAGAAUUUGUGUUUAACAAUUUCACAAGUAUAUUAGAUUAGCAAUUAUCCUGUUCUGGUUUUAAAUUCUAAUUUCACCUUUUUUCUUACUGCUGCAGGAUGCAAUAUUCAUGUACUGUUAAAUCAAAUACUCCAUUAACAGCACCAGAGAUAAAUAUUGAAUUAAUGGAAUAAUGCAGGUUAAUAGUAGAUUCAUAGGAUAACGCUGGAGAAUACUGUGUAUAAAUUAUGCUAGCAGCUGAAUCACUGACCCUCGCUGUGCUCUGACUGCAGGUACAAUAAAAAUAGCCAAAAAAAAGCUAAGCUAUCUGAG
rnacentral:lncRNA from 1 species